rnacentral:rRNA from 1 species
AAUGAACGCUGGCGGCAGGCCUAACACAUGCAAGUCGAACGAGAAAGUGACUUCGGUCAUUAGUACAGUGGCAAACGGGUGAGUAACACGUGGGAAUUUUCCCUUCAGUUCGGAAUAGCCCUUGGAAACGAGGAGUAAUACCGGAUACGAUCUACGGAUGAAAGAUUUAUCGCUGAAGGAUAAGCCCGCGUUAGAUUAGCUAGUUGGUGAGGUAAUGGCUCACCAAGGCGACGAUCUAUAGCUGGUCUGAGAGGAUGAUCAGCCACACUGGGACUGAGAUACGGCCCAGACUCCUACGGGAGGCAGCAGUGAGGAAUAUUGGACAAUGGAGGAAACUCUGAUCCAGCCAUGCCGCGUGAGUGAUGAAGGCCCUAGGGUUGUAAAACUCUUUCGGUGGGGAAAAUAAUGAUGGUACCCACAUAAGAAGCUCCGGCUAACUCCGUGCCAGCCGCCGCGGUAA